rnacentral:rRNA from 1 species
GACGAACGCUGGCGGCGUGCUUAACACAUGCAAGUCGAACGGUAAGGCCCUUCGGGGUACACGAGUGGCGAACGGGUGAGUAACACGUGGGUGAUCUGCCCUGCACUUCGGGAUAAGCCUGGGAAACUGGGUCUAAUACCGGAUAGGACCAUGGACUUCACGGUUUGUGGUGGAAAGCUUUUGCGGUGUGGGAUGGGCCCGCGGCCUAUCAGCUUGUUGGUGGGGUAAUGGCCUACCAAGGCGACGACGGGUAGCCGGCCUGAGAGGGUGUCCGGCCACACUGGGACUGAGAUACGGCCCAGACUCCUACGGGAGGCAGCAGUGGGAAUAUUGCACAAUGGGCGCAAGCCUGAUGCAGCGACGCCGCGUGAGGGAUGACGGCCUCGGGUUGUAAACCUCUUUCAAUAGGGACGAAGCGCAAGUGACGGUACCUA